rnacentral:lncRNA from 1 species
CAGAGGACACCAUGCAUCCGGGACAAGACAGAGGAAAGAUGAAAACCCAGGCAAGCCCUCUGCUUUUGCAGAGCGAACGUGGCCGCAGGCUUUUCAGCAUUGAAUUUGAACAAGCCAAUGGCAUCCCAAUCAUUGAAACAGGAAGCCAGAUAAACAGCAUGUUAUCAAGGGGGGAUCCGGGUGCUUCCCUUAAGCCGGCGCCAGCUGCGCCCUGUGGCUGUCCUAACAAAGUCCCAUUGACUCACCAGCUGAUUUUCCAGUGUUUGGCACCGGGGGACAAGGAACCCUCUCUGCUGGGUGGAUUUCACCCCUGCACACCGCCCCCACCACUCACCCCUCACGUCCUCCCCCAAUCCUGCCUCCCCAACGCAGACUGGGCUAAUUCUUUAUCCCAUGACCAGGUUCUAUCGGCUCUAGAGAAUAGAAGGGACCACAAGAGCCCAAGCACCGAGCGCCCUCAGGUCUGA